AUUGAACGCUGGCGGCAGGCCUAACACAUGCAAGUCGAACGGUAACAGGAAGAAGCUUGCUUCUUUGCUGACGAGUGGCGGACGGGUGAGUAAUGUCGGGAAAACUGCCUGAUGGAUGGGGAUAACUACUGGAAACGGUGGCUAAUACGGCAUAUCGUCUCAAGACCAAGGAGGAGGACCGUCAGGCCUCUUGCCAUCGGAUUUGCCCAGAUGGGAUUAGCUAGUAGGUGGGGUAACGGCUCACCUAGGCGACGAUCCAUAGCUGGUCUGAGAGGAUGACCGGCCACACUGGAACUGAGACACGGUCCAGACUCCUACGGGAGGCAGCAGUGGGGAAUAUUGCACAAUGGGCGAAAGCCUGAUGCAGCCAUGCCGCGUGUAUGAAGAAGGUCUUCGGGUCGUAAAGUUCUUUCAGCGGGGAGGAACGGAGUAAAGUUAAUCCCUUCACUCAUUGACGUUACCUGAACAGAAAGCCACGGCUAACUACGUG
rnacentral:rRNA from 1 species